rnacentral:rRNA from 1 species
UAAUCGGAAUGAGUACACUCUAAACCCUUUAACGAGGAUCAAUUGGAGGGCAAGUCUGGUGCCAGCAGCCGCGGUAACUCCAGCUCCAAUAGCGUAUAUUAAAGUUGUUGCGGUUAAAAAGCUCGUAGUCGAAUUUGUGUCCCGCGCCGCCGGUUCAUCGCUCGCGGUGUCAACUGGCGUGUCGCGGGACGUCCUGCCGGUGGGCUUAGCUCUUCGGGGCGGCCCAAUCUCAAUCCCAUCGCGGUGCUCUUCAUUGAGUGUCGAGGUGGGCCGGCACGUUUACUUUGAACAAAUUAGAGUGCUUAAAGCAGGCUAAAACAUCGCCUGAAUACUGUGUGCAUGGAAUAAUGGAAUAGGACCUCGGUUCUAUUUUGUUGGUUUUCGGAACUCCGAGGUAAUGAUUAAUAGGAACGGAUGGGGGCAUUCGUAUUGCGACGUUAGAGGUGAAAUUCUUGGAUCGUCGCAAGACGGACAGAAGCGAAAGCAUUUGCCAAAAACGCUUUCAUUGAUCAAGAACGAAAGUUAGAGGUUCGAAGGCGAUCAGAUACCGCCCUAGUUCUAACCAUAAACGAUGCCAGCUAGCGAUCCGCCGACGUUCCUCCGAUGACUCGGCGGGCAGCUUCCGGGAAACCAAAGCUUUUGGGUUCCGGGGGAAGUAUGGUUGCAAAGCUGAAACUUAAAGGAAUUGACGGAAGGGCACCACCAGGAGUGGAGCCUGCGGCUUAAUUUGACUCAACACGGGAAACCUCACCAGGCCCGGACACCGGAAGGAUUGACAGAUUGAGAGC